rnacentral:rRNA from 1 species
AUUGAACGCUGGCGGCAGGCCUAACACAUGCAAGUCGAACGAGUGGCGGACGGGUGAGUAAUGUCUGGGAAACUGCCUGAUGGAGGGGGAUAACUACUGGAAAGGGUAGCUAAUACCGCAUAACAUCAGAAGUGCCCAGAUGGGAUUAGCUAGUUGGUGGGGGAACGGCUCACCAAGGCGACGAUCCCUAGCUGGUCUGAGAGGAUGACCGGCCCCACUGGAACUGAGCCACGGUCCAGACUCCUACGGGAGGCAGCAGUGGGGAAUUUUGCACAAUGGGCGCAAGCCUGAUGCAGCCAUGCCGCGUGUCUGAAGAAGGCCUUCGGGUUGUAAAGUACUUUCAGCGGUGAGGCGUUACCCGCAGAAGAAGCACCGGCUAACUCCGUGCCAGCCGCCGCGGUAAUUC